GUUGAGUUUGACUCUAGUCUGACAUUGUGCAACGACACGGGGGG
rnacentral:rRNA from 1 species